UACGUAGGGGGCAAGCGUUGUCCGGAUUUAUUGGGCGUAAAGAGCUCGUAGGCGGCUUGGCAAGUCGGGUGUGAAAACUUCAGGCUCAACCUGGAGCGGCCACUCGAUACUGCCAUGGCUUGAGUCCGGUAGGGGACCACGGAAUUCCUGGUGUAGCGGUGGAAAUGCGCAGAUAUCAGGAGGAACACCGGUGGCGAAGGCGGGUCUCUGGGCCGAUACUGACGCUGGAGGAGCGAAAGCGUGGGGAGCGAACAGG
rnacentral:rRNA from 1 species